AUUGAACGCUGGCGGCAGGCCUAACACAUGCAAGUCGAGCGGAUGAAGGGAGCUUGCUCCUGGAUUCAGCGGCGGACGGGUGAGUAAUGCCUAGGAAUCUGCCAGCUAGUGGGGGAUAACGUCCGGAAACGGGCGCUAAUACCGCAUACGUCCUGAGGGAGCAAGUGGGGGAUCUUCGGACCUUACGCUAUCAGAUGAGCCUAGGUCGGAUUAGCUUGUUGGCGGGGUAAAGGCCUACCAAGGUGACGAACCGUAACUGGUCUGAGAGGAUGAUCAGGCACACGGGAACUGAGACACGGUCCAGACACCGACGGUGAGCAGCAGUGGGGAAUAUUGGACGAUGGACGAAAGCCUGAUCCAGCCAAGCCGCGUGUGUGAAGAAGGUCUUCGGAUUGUAGAGCACUUUAAGUUGGGAGGAAGGACAGUACGUUAAUACCUUGCUGUUUUGACGUUACCAACAGAAUAAGCACCGGCUAACUUCGUG
rnacentral:rRNA from 1 species